rnacentral:rRNA from 1 species
UACAGAGGGUGCAAGCGUUGUUCGGAAUUAUUGGGCGUAAAGGGCGCGUAGGCGGUUCGGUAAGUCUGUCGUGAAAUCUCUGGGCUCAACUCAGAGUCUGCUGCAGAAACUGCCGUGCUUGAGUGUGGGAGAGGUGAGUGGAAUUCCCGGUGUAGCGGUGAAAUGCGUAGAGAUCCGGAGGAACACCAGUGGCGAAGGCGACACGCUGGGCCGUACCUGACACUGAUGCGCGACAGCAUGGGGAGCAAACAGG